rnacentral:rRNA from 1 species
UACGUAGGUGGCAAGCGUUAUCCGGAUUUAUUGGGUUUAAAGGGUGCGCAGGUUGUUUGAUAAGUCAGUGGUGAAAGUCUGUCGCUUAACGGUAGGAUUGCCAUUGAUACUGUUGGACUUGAAUAUGGAUGAGGUAGGCGGAAUGUGUAGUGUAGCGGUGAAAUGCAUAGAUAUUACACAGAACACCGAUUGCGAAGGCAGCUUACUAAUCCAUCAUUGACGCUGAGGCACGAAAGCGUGGGGAGCAAACAGGA